GACGAACGCUGGCGGCGUGCUUAACACAUGCAAGUCGAACGGAAAGGCCCUGCUUUUGUGGGGUGCUCGAGUGGCGAACGGGUGAGUAACACGUGAGUAACCUGCCCUUUACUUUGGGAUAACUUCAGGAAACUGGGGCUAAUACCGGAUAGGAGCUCCUGCUGCAUGGUGGGGGUUGGUAAGUUUCGGCGGUUGGGGAUGGACUCGUGGCUUAUCAGCUUGUUGGUGGGGUAGUGGCUUACCAAGGCUUUGACGGGUAGCCGGCCUGCGAGGGUGACCGGCCACAUUGGGACUGAGAUGCGGCCCAGACUCCUACGGGAGGCAGCAGUGGGGAAUAUUGCACAAAGGGCGGAAGCCUGGUGCAGCAACGCCGCGUGCGGGAUGACGGCCUUUGGGUUGUAACCCGCUUUCGCCUGUGACGAAGCGUGAGUGACGGUAAUGGGUAAAGAAGCACCGGCUAACUACGUG
rnacentral:rRNA from 1 species